rnacentral:tRNA from 1 species
AGUCUUGAGGUGUUUUUACACGUCGGAUUGCAAAUCCGAAGUAGUCGGCUAACGCCGGCCGGGGCUU